rnacentral:tRNA from 1 species
GGUCUAGUGGUCUAGUGGUAUGAUUCUCGCUUUGGGAUCCACUUUUCCUCUUGCGAGAGGCCCCGGGUUCGAAUCCCGGCUGGACCC